UGUAGGUUAUAAAGGUUUUAAUUUUGGAAUUGGUUUUAUAAAUGACCGUUGGAAUUGGGAAGCCAAAAGGUUUAGGUUGGUGUAUUGGCGCAUAAAAUAUUACCUUCUCCACUCUUCCUUCUUCGCUUCACUCAUCCCGCUUCGUUCUCCAAACACCGCCGGAGACGACUCGUCGCGACCUCUGUAAUUCAGCUCAUCGAAGACACAAGCACCCCCACCCUUGGUUGGACACUCAUAAGCAUGUUGGUAAUCCUAAGGAGUUAUCUGUAACUUUUCAUUAUUUUUCCUUCUUAUUUUAGUUCUCUAGGGUUUUCUGUAUUUCAGAUGUUGUAAUCUCCUCUGUAUGUAUGGAUACGAGAAAAAUCGAAGCAUACUCUAGUUUUCUAACUACACAAGUUGUAUUGCGACUUAAAAACAGAAGGAAACUACAUAGUUUUCCUUUAGUUUUGUUGGCCGUUUCAUAAAUUUCUUCUCUAUCUUUUUAUUGCUUUUUUUUUCACUGUAAAAUCUGAUUUAGCGUGUCUGGUACGCUUGUUUCAGAAUGUGUUCUUAUGAAUAACCAAUUUUAUCAGAUCACGAUGUUUUACUCAAAUCUCUUUUUUUGGAAGAUUUAAUCACAUAAUCAUUAUUUUGUUUCUUGUUUCUCUUCUGUUGAUUUGCACUUGAGUAAUAAAAUAACUCUCGUCAAACUCUUGCAUGGUUUGAGUCAUUGAGUGUAUUAGGUUUACCAUAUUAUAGUUUGUUGGUUUGUUUUAUGAGGUUAAAUCAUGUUUUGAUUGUUUAUUAACAUUUUUACUCGAUUCUAAUCUUAUUUUAAUAUUGCCUAACAACAAAACAACAUUGCUGUAACGGGUUAUUAUUAGGUUCACAUAAUCUGCCACAUUUAUCAAAAUAUAGUUGGAUUCCCCAUGUUACAUGACUUUUUGAAGAUUGUAAAGCUUCCAUAUGUAUUUCAGUUACAAAUUUAUGGUUAUUUGAUAGGAUAACCGGAGAAGUCAAGGCAACAGAAGUUCAAAUUGCUAAUGUUGUAUGCAUUGGAUGAUGGACAACCAAAUGUUGAGGUACACUUUUAGUUCCAUUGAAUCUCAAAUACCUUUGCUUUAUCAAAUUACUUCCUUCAAUCCAUUGAUUACAAGUUGACAAAGCAUGGAAACAACAUACUGGUGUACAGGAAAGGAUGUGCUUGUUUUCUUAAAAAGAUUCUGAAUAUUGCAUGGAAAAGUCCUUCAACACUUAUUUAGUAUGCUUGACAUCAGGGAAGAGAAAUGCCACAUGGUGUGGUCUUUGGUGGGUAAAAAUGUUAGAAACAAGUGGUCAAUAUAAAGAGGGUGCUGGUGUUUAAGGAACCUCUUCGUUUAGCUGUGAUGCUUGAACAAGGAUCUGAUUGCUGUUACCUUUUAGCCAAACCAAUUAUAUUAAGAAAUUAUGGAUUUCAUUUCAUUCUUUCUGAUGAUCUAUACAAGAAAUGCCAUCAGGUCCACAACUUGAAAUUGCUGAAUGACAUGGCAGAACUGAGUUCAACCUACUGAGUUACACGAUUAUAUAACAAAGCAUAUCAGAUGAUGGGUGGGAGCAAUGAAAAUAUGGUUAGAAAAUCAUCAGAAGACACAAAUGUAUUUUCAAGAUCCUCUUCAAAAGAACUGUCUUCAUGGGAGCUUCCAAGAUCUCUCUCUUGCGAAUGGAACGUAGAAGCUACUUGAUACAGUUACUACUUCAGGUGUACAGACAUCAGGGAAGGGAAAUGCCACAUGGUGUGGUCUUUGGUGGGUUAAAAUGUUAGAAACAAGUGGUCAAUAUAAAGAGGGUGCUGGUGUUUAAGGAAAAGCUGGAGAAAAAGCUAAAUGACCAUAUACGGUGCCAAGUGGACGACUAGGGUAUUUCGAGAAAAACUUCAAUUUUUUAGUUGAAGUUCUCUACUACUUUUGUCACUCUGAAAUCCAAUGAAGACCGAUGAAAUGCUUAAGAGCUUGGUCAGACACCUGAGAUUCUUCAUUUGUUAAAGCAGAUCAAGGAGAAGCUGAAAGAAGUUUGAUCAAAUGGUAAAUUCUUUUGGUAGCAAUUAACAAUUUUAAACAGUACAAAAUGCAAUUUUAUAAUUUAAACUAAGACAAAUAGUACAGUUCCUUUAUGAUAUUUGGCAUGCCGUAAUAUAUAAUUACA